rnacentral:rRNA from 1 species
GACGAACCAUGCAAACGUUAUUCGGAAUUACUGGGCUUAAAGCGUGCGUAGGCGGCUCAGAAAGUUGGGUGUGAAAUACCUCGGCUUAACCGAGGAAUUGCGCCCAGAACUACUGGGCUUGAGGGAGUUAGAGGUGAGCGGAACUCACGGUGGAGCGGUGAAAUGCGUUGAUAUCGUGAGGAACACCGGAGGCGAAAGCGGCUCACUGGGGCUUCACUGACGCUGAGGCACGAAAGCUAGGGGAGCAAACGGG